GAGUGAUGGCGGAUGGUCGCUGGGAGAGAUCCUGGAGGAAAGUCCGGACACCAUACGGCGGCAUACCGUGUACAAUACGCGGGAGGCAGGAAUGAAAAUUCCGGCCGACGGAAAGUGUCACAGAAAACAGACCACCUGCGCUCAAUACUUCGCAAGAAAUGUUGGCCGGAGGUAAGGGUGAAAAGGCGGGGUAAGAGCCCACCGCCCCGUGCGUGAGCACGGGGGCACGAAAAACCCUAUGCGGUGCAAGACAGAACAGGGGAAGAGGCCGCCGGCUUCAAUGAUUGACCAAUGGUCAGUCGGGACCCCGGGUAACGUCGCACCCGUCGCAAGACGGGCGGAAAACUCCGGUUCGCCGGAGAGUUCUGAGAGAAAUGACCAUCCAAGCUGGAGUAAUCCAGCCUGACAGAAUCCGGCUUACAGCCGUCACACUAUG
rnacentral:RNase_P_RNA from 1 species